GCUAAACGCGAAGAACCUUACCAGCCCUUGACAUCCCGGUCGCGGUUCGUGGAGACACGAUCCUUCAGUUCGGCUGGACCGGAGACAGGUGCUGCAUGGCUGUCGUCAGCUCGUGUCGUGAGAUGUUGGGUUAAGUCCCGCAACGAGCGCAACCCUCGCCUCUAGUUGCCAUCAUUCAGUUGGGCACUCUAGAGGGACUGCCGGUGAUAAGCCGAGAGGAAGGUGGGGAUGACGUCAAGUCCUCAUGGCCCUUACGGGCUGGGCUACACACGUGCUACAAUGGCGGUGACAAUGGGCAGCUAACCCGCGAGGGUGAGCUAAUCUCCAAAAGCCGUCUCAGUUCGGAUUGCAGGCUGCAACCCGCCUGCAUGAAGCUGGAAUCGCUAGUAAUGGCGUAUCAGAAUGACGCCGUGAAUACGUUCCCGGGUCUUGUACACACCG
rnacentral:rRNA from 1 species